rnacentral:misc_RNA from 1 species
UUGAGGUUUCAUCCCAUCUCGGGAUCCUCUCACACUUGCAUUGUUCACAAUGUUGCUUCGGCGGGGCGCGAGCAAUCGCCGCUGGCUCUCGAGCAAGCGAGUCUCUGCCGAAGGCCCCAACUCUUCCAAUCUUUGCAGUCAUGUCAAAACAAAAUGAAACA